GGUAGCUAUAGAUCAUAGUAGUUUGUUCCUGCGCUCUGUAUUAUAAGCUUGCUUCUAUGACGUUAGCGGCGGACGGGUGAGUAACACGUGGGCAACCUGCCUGUAAGACUGGGAUAACUUCGGGAAACCGAAGCUAAUACCGGAUAGGAUCUUCUCCUUCAUGGGAGAUGAUUGAAAGAUGGUUUCGGCUAUCACUUACAGAUGGGCCCGCGGUGCAUUAGCUAGUUGGUGAGGUAACGGCUCACCAAGGCAACGAUGCAUAGCCGACCUGAGAGGGUGAUCGGCCACACUGGGACUGAGACACGGCCCAGACUCCUACGGGAGGCAGCAGUAGGGAAUCUUCCGCAAUGGACGAAAGUCUGACGGAGCAACGCCGCGUGAGUGAUGAAGGCUUUCGGGUCGUAAAACUCUGUUGUUAGGGAAGAACAAGUACGAGAGUAACUGCUCGUACCUUGACGGUACCUAACCAGAAAGCCACGGCUAACUACGUGCCAGCAGCCGCGGUAAUACGUAGGUGGCAAGCGUUAUCCGGAAUUAUUGGGCGUAAAGCGCGCGCAGGCGGUUUCUUAAGUCUGAUGUGAAAAGCCCACGGCUCACCGUGGAGGGUCAUUGGAAAACUGGGGAACUUUGAGUGCA
rnacentral:rRNA from 2 species